rnacentral:rRNA from 1 species
CCUACGGGCGGCAGCAGUGAGGAAUAUUGGUCAAUGGGCGCGAGCCUGAACCAGCCAAGUAGCGUGAAGGAUGACUGCCCUACGGGUUGUAAACUUCUUUUAUAAAGGAAUAAAGUGAGGCACGUGUGCCUUUUUGUAUGUACUUUAUGAAUAAGGAUCGGCUAACUCCGUGCCAGCAGCCGCGGUAAUACGGAGGAUGCAAGCGUUGUCCGGAAUCAUUGGGUGUAAAGAGUUCGUAGGCGGGAUGUUAAGUCAGUUGGUAAAGUCUCAGGCUCAACCUGAGAAUGGCAAUUGAUACUUGCAAGCUGGAAUGCGGUAGAGGUAGGGGGAAUUCCGGGGGUAGCGGUGAAAUGCUUAGAUAUCAGGAAGAACAUCGGUGGCGAAAGCACUCUACUGGGCCGUAAUUGACGCUGAUGAACGAAAGCGAGGGUAGCAAAUGGGAUUAGAUACCCCAGUAGUC